GAGUUCAAGAGUACGUGAAACUGCUUAGAGGUUAAGCCCGAUGAACCUGAAUAUCCGUUAUGAAAAAUUCAUCACUAAUACUAUGAUAUUUAUAAUAUUAUGGAAAUAGUGUGCAAUUUUUUCAUAUAAGGACAUUGUAAUCUGUUAAUGUAAUAAAUAUUUAUUAAAAGAUCUUAUACACAAGUUUAUUCAAAUUAGUUAUUUUCGAAUUUCUAACAUAGAAUAAAUGUAUUUGAUUUAAUAAAUCAUUGACAGAUUUAAUUAUAAUAUAGUGCUUAAAUUUUGAACGAAAUUUUACAAUAAUAUGGUAAUUCAAUUUAUUAUGUUUAUUGUAUGCGCUUAUAUGAUUAACAAUGCGAUAGAUUCAGGAUACCUUCGGGACCCGUCUUGAAACACGGACCAAGGAGUCUAACAUAUGUGCAAGUCAUUGGGUAUUUUUAAUAAAACCCAAUGGCAUAAUUAACUUAACUGUUUUUUAAAUGGGAUUAGUUUAUAUUUUAUUAUGAAAUAUUAAUUCAAUCCCGGGGCGUUCUAUAUAGUUAUACAUAAUGAUAUUUAUAUUAUUUAUGCCUCUAACU
rnacentral:rRNA from 1 species